rnacentral:rRNA from 1 species
UGGAUUAGUGGCGAACGGGUGAGUAACACGUGAGUAACCUGCCCCUGACUCUGGGAUAAGCGUUGGAAACGACGUCUAAUACUGGAUAUGACUACUGGUCGCAUGGCCUGGUGGUGGAAAGAUUUUUUGGUUGGGGAUGGACUCGCGGCUUAUCAGCUUGUUGGUGAGGUAAUGGCUCACCAAGGCGACGACGGGUAGCCGGCCUGAGAGGGUGACCGGCCACACUGGGACUGAGACACGGCCCAGACUCCUACGGGAGGCAGCAGUGGGGAAUAUUGCACAAUGGGCGAAAGCCUGAUGCAGCAACGCCGCGUGAGGGAUGACGGCCUUCGGGUUGUAAACCUCUUUUAGUAGGGAAGAAGCGAGAGUGACGGUACCUGCAGAAAAAGCACCGGCUAACUACGUGCCAGCAGCCGCGGUAAUACGUAGGGUGCAAGCGUUGUCCGGAAUUAUUGGGCGUAAAGAGCUCGUAGGCGGUUUGUCGCGUCUGCUGUGAAAUCCCGAGGCUCAACCUCGGGCUUGCAGUGGGUACGGGCAGACUAGAGUGCGGUAGGGGAGAUUGGAAUUCCUGGUGUAGCGGUGGAAUGCGCAGAUAUCAGGAGGAACACCGAUGGCGAAGGCAGAUCUCUGGGCCGUAACUGACGCUGAGGAGCGAAAGCGUGGGGAGCGAACAGGAUUAGAUACCCUGGUAGUCCACGCCGUAAACGUUGGGCGCUAGAUGUAGGGACCUUUCCACGGUUUCUGUGUCGUAGCUAACGCAUUAAGCGCCCCCGCCUGGGGAGUACGGCCGCAAGGCUAAAACUCAAGGGAAUUGACGGGGGCCCGCACA